AGAUAGAACUCUGAAGAGUCCGGUUAUUCGGCGCCGAAGGAGAAAUGUAUUACAUAAAUGCAGAAGCUCUCAGGUUAGGAAACAGAGGAAUAUAA
rnacentral:ncRNA from 2 species